AGUCACUAUUUGGCAUUCAGUUUCUCAAGACAUUUGUCAAUAUGCUGUUUAGUAAUUAUAUACAGUGAGGGGAAAAGUAUUUGAUCCACGGAUGUCAGGAAUAAGGUUGUAGACCUACACGAGGCUGGAAUGGGCUACAAGACCAUUGCCAUGCAGCUUGGUGAGAAGGUGACAACAGCUGGUGUGAUGAUUUGCAAAUGGAAGAAACACAAAAUAACUAUCAG